AAUGCAAUUGUUGGGUCAUAUGGUUAUUGCAUGUUUACUUUUGAAAGAAACUGCCAAAUUAUUUUACAGAGUGGCUGUGCCAUUUUACAUUCCCACUAGCAAU
rnacentral:pre_miRNA from 1 species